rnacentral:rRNA from 1 species
CACGCUGUAAACGAUGGAUGCUAGCCGUCAGCAAGCAUGCUUGUUGGUGGCGCAGCUAACGCAUUAAGCAUCCCGCCUGGGGAGUACGGCCGCAAGGUUAAAACUCAAAGGAAUUGACGG